rnacentral:rRNA from 1 species
UUAAGUUAUUAAGGGCGCACGGUGGAUGCCUUGGCACUAGAAGCCGAUGAAGGACGUUACUAACGACGAUAUGCUUUGGGGAGCUGUAAGUAAGCUUUGAUCCAGAGAUUUCCGAAUGGGGAAACCCAGCAUGAGUUAUGUCAUGUUAUCGAUAUGUGAAUACAUAGCAUAUCAGAAGGCACACCCGGAGAACUGAAACAUCUUAGUACCCGGAGGAAGAAAAAGAAAAUUCGAUUCCCUUAGUAGCGGCGAGCGAAACGGGAAGAGCCCAAACCAACAAGCUUGCUUGUUGGGGUUGUAGGACACUCUAUACGGAGUUACAAAGGACGACAUUAGACGAAUCAUCUGGAAAGAUGAAUCAAAGAAGGUAAUAAUCCUGUAGUCGAAAAUGUUGUCUCUCUUGAGUGGAUCCUGAGUACGACGGAACACGUGAAAUUCCGUCGGAAUCUGGGAGGACCAUCUCCUAAGGCUAAAUACUCUCUAGUGACCGAUAGUGAACCAGUACCGUGAGGGAAAGGUGAAAAGCACCCCGGAAGGGGAGUGAAAUAGAACCUGAAACCGUGUGCUUACAAGUAGUCAGAGCCCGUUAAUGGGUGAUGGCGUGCCUUUUGUAGAAUGAACCGGCGAGUUACGAUUUGAUGCAAGGUUAAGCAGUAAAUGUGGAGCCGUAGCGAAAGCGAGUCUGAAUAGGGCGUUUAGUAUUUGGUCGUAGACCCGAAACCAGGUGAUCUACCCUUGGUCAGGUUGAAGUUCAGGUAACACUGAAUGGAGGACCGAACCGACUUACGUUGAAAAGUGAGCGGAUGAACUGAGGGUAGCGGAGAAAUUCCAAUCGAACCUGGAGAUAGCUGGUUCUCUCCGAAAUAGCUUUAGGGCUAGCCUCAAGUGAUGAUUAUUGGAGGUAGAGCACUGUUUGGACGAGGGGCCCCUCUCGGGUUACCGAAUUCAGACAAACUCCGAAUGCCAAUUAAUUUAACUUGGGAGUCAGAACAUGGGUGAUAAGGUCCGUGUUCGAAAGGGAAACAGCCCAGACCACCAGCUAAGGUCCCAAAAUAUAUGUUAAGUGGAAAAGGAUGUGGCGUUGCCCAGACAACUAGGAUGUUGGCUUAGAAGCAGCCAUCAUUUAAAGAGUGCGUAAUAGCUCACUAGUCGAGUGACACUGCGCCGAAAAUGUACCGGGGCUAAACAUAUUACCGAAGCUGUGGAUUGUCCUUUGGACAAUGGUAGGAGAGCGUUCUAAGGGCGUUGAAGCAUGAUCGUAAGGACAUGUGGAGCGCUUAGAAGUGAGAAUGCCGGUGUGAGUAGCGAAAGACGGGUGAGAAUCCCGUCCACCGAUUGACUAAGGUUUCCAGAGGAAGGCUCGUCCGCUCUGGGUUAGUCGGGUCCUAAGCUGAGGCCGACAGGCGUAGGCGAUGGAUAACAGGUUGAUAUUCCUGUACCACCUAUAAUCGUUUUAAUCGAUGGGGGGACGCAGUAGGAUAGGCGAAGCGUGCGAUUGGAUUGCACGUCUAAGCAGUAAGGCUGAGUAUUAGGCAAAUCCGGUACUCGUUAAGGCUGAGCUGUGAUGGGGAGAAGACAUUGAGUCUUCGAGUCGUUUAUUUCACACUGCCGAGAAAAGCCUCUAGAUAGAAAAUAGGUGCCCGUACCGCAAACCGACACAGGUAGUCAAGAUGAGAAUUCUAAGGUGAGCGAGCGAACUCUCGUUAAGGAACUCGGCAAAAUGACCCCGUAACUUCGGGAGAAGGGGUGCUCUUUAGGGUUAACGCCCAGAAGAGCCGCAGUGAAUAGGCCCAAGCGACUGUUUAUCAAAAACACAGGUCUCUGCUAAACCGUAAGGUGAUGUAUAGGGGCUGACGCCUGCCCGGUGCUGGAAGGUUAAGAGGAGUGGUUAGCUUCUGCGAAGCUACGAAUCGAAGCCCCAGUAAACGGCGGCCGUAACUAUAACGGUCCUAAGGUAGCGAAAUUCCUUGUCGGGUAAGUUCCGACCCGCACGAAAGGCGUAACGAUUUGGGCACUGUCUCAACGAGAGACUCGGUGAAAUCAUAGUACCUGUGAAGAUGCAGGUUACCCGCGACAGGACGGAAAGACCCCGUGGAGCUUUACUGUAGCCUGAUAUUGAAAUUCGGCACAGCUUGUACAGGAUAGGUAGGAGCCUUUGAAACGUGAGCGCUAGCUUACGUGGAGGCGCUGGUGGGAUACUACCCUAGCUGUGUUGGCUUUCUAACCCGCACCACUUAUCGUGGUGGGAGACAGUGUCAGGCGGGCAGUUUGACUGGGGCGGUCGCCUCCUAAAAGGUAACGGAGGCGCUCAAAGGUUCCCUCAGAAUGGUUGGAAAUCAUUCAUAGAGUGUAAAGGCAUAAGGGAGCUUGACUGCGAGACCUACAAGUCGAGCAGGGUCGAAAGACGGACUUAGUGAUCCGGUGGUUCCGCAUGGAAGGGCCAUCGCUCAACGGAUAAAAGCUACCCCGGGGAUAACAGGCUUAUCUCCCCCAAGAGUUCACAUCGACGGGGAGGUUUGGCACCUCGAUGUCGGCUCAUCGCAUCCUGGGGCUGUAGUCGGUCCCAAGGGUUGGGCUGUUCGCCCAUUAAAGCGGUACGCGAGCUGGGUUCAGAACGUCGUGAGACAGUUCGGUCCCUAUCCGUCGUGGGCGUAGGAAAUUUGAGAGGAGCUGUCCUUAGUACGAGAGGACCGGGAUGGACAUACCUCUGGUGUACCAGUUGUCGUGCCAACGGCAUAGCUGGGUAGCUAUGUGUGGACGGGAUAAGUGCUGAAAGCAUCUAAGCAUGAAGCCCCCCUCAAGAUGAGAUUUCCCAACUUCGGUUAUAAGAUCCCUCAAAGAUGAUGAGGUUAAUAGGUUCGAGGUGGAAGCAUGGUGACAUGUGGAGCUGACGAAUACUAAUCGAUCGAAGACUUAAUCAA